rnacentral:rRNA from 1 species
AGUGAACGCUGGCGGUAGGCCUAACACAUGCAAGUCGAACGGCAGCACAGUAAGAGCUUGCUCUUACGGGUGGCGAGUGGCGGACGGGUGAGGAAUACAUCGGAAUCUACUUUUUCGUGGGGGAUAAUGUAGGGAAACUUACGCUAAUACCGCAUACGACCUACGGGUGAAAGCAGGGGAUCUUCGGACCUUGCGCGAUUGAAUGAGCCGAUGUCGGAUUAGCUAGUUGGCGGGGUAAAGGCCCACCAAGGCGACGAUCCGUAGCUGGUCUGAGAGGAUGAUCAGCCACACUGGAACUGAGACACGGUCCAGACUCCUACGGGAGGCGGCAGUGGGGAAUAUUGGACAAUGGGCUCAAGCCUGAUCCAGCCAUACCGCGUGGGUGAAGAAGGCCUUCGGGUUGUAAAGCCCUUUUGUUGGGAAAGAAAAGCAGCAGGUUAAUACCCCGCUGUUCUGACGGUACCCAAAGAAUAAGCACCGGCUAACUUCGUG